rnacentral:rRNA from 1 species
UUUCCACUUAGUCCAAUAAAUAAUAUAGUAAUACAGCAUUUCGCCGCUCUUUAAUUAUAUUUUUUUGGCCUUCGUCUCCGCUUCGUCUCGUCUCGUCUCACAACCGCCAGUCCACCACCAGCUCGCCGGAAUUCCCUCGCCGGAGAGGCGCUGCGGCUGCAUACCUAGGAGGAGGAGCGAAGAAUGGGGAGGAGUGGAGGGGUGCCCGCUGCCGCGCUCGCUCGCUAGGGUUAGGUGCGCGCGUGCGUGAGGAUGGAGCUCGCUCUCUGAGCUCGCCUCGCCCCCCAGCUGAGGGCAUUAGCUGUGCCGUCGCUGCGCGCUGGGUGAUCCGCCCUCCUGUGAGCUCCGGGGGAGCCGUUUUGGCUUGCGCCAUGGAGCCAUCUCUUCUGGGCGCGGCCACGGGUUGCGUGUUGUGGUAAGCUCCUGGCCGCGACAAGCUGAAGCGGAUCUCGACUGCCGAUCUGGUGCUAGCAGGAUGCCAGCUAGAAUCAUGGAGCAGAGGCACCACAUGCCCCCAUUCCACCUCCCCGUGGAGUCCGAAUCGUCUUCUCCCAUGUGAAAAAAGAUUCAUUGAUUUCGGGAAGUAGGUCUGCUGCAUCUUCUCCAGUCGAAAAGCCAAAGCCUAUUGGCCAAAGGUUGUGCAUCAAUUAGGGCUUAUGGAGCCAUACAAGUUGAUGGACCAGAAAACUCCCUUUGGUGAGCGCAAGUUGUUGGGCCAUCAAAGGCAUGUUAACCUGCCGCCAACCCCCUGGAGGGCUGAUCAAGAUCCUCUACAACAACAUGAUUCAUUUUCGAAGCCGUUGGCUUUAUUUCCUAAUGCUAGAAAGGGACAUUUAAAUAUGACCCAAUAUGAGAAUGGACUUUUCUCAAGCUCCCUUCCAGACAUUUUUGACAACAAAUUGAGACUAACACCUAAGAAUGGCCUUGUUGGCCAGCCAGCUGAAAAGGAAGUCAACCAUGCAGAUGACGAGCCUUUUGAAUUAACUCAGGAAAUUGAGGCACAAGUAAUUGGCAAUCUCCUCCCUGAUGACGACGACUUAUUGUCAGGUGUUCUUUAUAAUGUGGGUCACCCUGCCCGUGCUAAUAACAUGGAUGACAUUGAUGACGAUAUAUUCUCUACUGGAGGUGGAAUGGAAUUGGAAGCUGAUGAAAAUAACAAAUUGCUAAAACUUAACGGUGGAGCCAACACCGGUCAGACUGGGUUCAAUGGCCUACUGUAUGGUGAAAACCCCUCGAGAACCCUUUCCAUUAGAAACAUUAAUACCAAUGUUGAGGAUACUGAAUUGAAACUCCUAUUUGAGCAAUAUGGAGACAUCCGAACACUUUACACUGCCUACAAACAUCAUGGUUUAGUGAUGAUAUCUUACUAUGAUAUAAGAUCGGCAGAACGUGCCAUGAAAGCGCUUCAAAGCAAGCCAUUCAGGCAGUGGAAACUUGAGAUACAUUACUCCAUCCCAAAGGAGAACCCUUUGGAGAAUGAUAACAACCAGGGCACACUUGCAGUGAUUAACCUAGACCAGUCUGUAACUAAUGAUGAUCUUCGUCAUAUAUUUGGUGGCUAUGGUGAAAUCAAGGCGAUUCACGGGACAUCACAAAACGGCCAUCACAAAUACGUUGACUUUUUUGAUACCAGAGCAGCAGAAGCUGCACUUUAUGCUUUGAACAUGAGAGAUAUUGCAGGAAAGAAAAUCAGAUUAGAGCGCUGCUGCGCGGGCGACGGUAAACGUCUGACGACGCUACAUAGGCCUCCUGAGUUGGAGCAGGAAGAGUAUGGUGCAUGCAAGCUAGGAAAUGCAAACAGUCUGCCGUCAACUUACUACGGUUCUGUCAACAUGGCUUCCAUGACUUCCGCUGGUCCUGAACAUGGGAUCUCUCGGGUUCUGCGUCCCAGAGUUCAGCCACCAAUACACCAAUUCAGGGAGGGAGCUUUCCUGGAUGUUCCCUCAAGUACUAUGCAAAGUAUAUCCUCUCCUGUUAGAAUUGCAACUGCAGUAACGCAUAACAACCGGUCGACUGUCGGCACAAUAUCACCCAUUGGAGUUAAGAGCAACUCUAGAACUGCUGAAGGAAUGGAGAGCAGACAUCUUUACAAAGUUGGUUCUGCUAACCUUGGUGGUCAUUCUUCUGGUCAUACCGAAGCACCCGGGUUUUCAAGAACUGGAAGCUGCCCCCUUCAUGGCCACCAAGUAGCGUGGAAUAAUUCAAAUAACUCCCAUCAUCAUACCUCUUCUCCCAUGCUAUGGCCGAACUCAGGAUCAUUUAUCAAUAAUAUACCAUCUCGACCUCCCACGCAAGCGCAUGGAAUUUCAAGAACAUCUCGCAUGCUUGAAAAUGUCCUUCCAGUGAAUCAUCAUGUUGGAUCUGCACCAGCUGUCAAUCCAUCAAUUCUGGACAGGAGAACUGGUUAUGCAGGGGAGCUGAUGGAAGCGCCAAGUUUCCAUCCUGGGAGUGCUGGAAGCAUGGGUUUCUCUGGUAGUCCGCAUCUGCAUCAGUUGGAGCUCACUAGCAUGUUUCCUCAGAGUGGAGGGAACCAAGCCAUGUCCCCUGCACACAUUGGUGCUCGAUCUCCUCAGCAGAGGGGGCAUAUGUUUCAUGGAAGGGGUCAUAUAGGUCCCCCUCCAUCUUCAUUUGAUUCACCAGGUGAACGUGCAAGGAGCCGAAGAAACGAGUCAUGUGCUAAUCAAUCGGAUAAUAAAAGGCAGUAUGAGCUAGACAUUGAGCGUAUAGUCUGCGGCGAGGAUUCCCGGACUACAUUAAUGAUAAAGAACAUCCCAAACAAGUACACCUCUAAGAUGCUUUUGACCGCUAUUGAUGAAAAUCACAAGGGAACUUAUGAUUUUAUCUAUCUUCCAAUUGACUUUAAGAAUAAAUGCAAUGUGGGCUACGCAUUCAUCAAUAUGAUAAGUCCUGAGCAUAUUGUUCCAUUCUAUAAGAUAUUCCAUGGGAAAAGGUGGGAGAAAUUCAAUAGCGAGAAGGUAGCAUCACUUGCAUAUGCUAGAAUCCAAGGAAAAUCAUCUCUAAUUGCGCACUUCCAAAAUUCAAGUUUGAUGAAUGAGGAUAAACGCUGCCGCCCUAUACUUUUCCACUCAGAUGGUCCAAACGCAGGGGAUCAAGAACCUUUUCCAAUGGGAACACACGUCCGUUCUAGGCCUGGGCGAUCCAGGGUUUUGAGCUGCGAAGAAAGUCACCGGGACACUCUGUCAUCUUCUGCCAACAAUUGGACUCCUUCCAACGGGGGCGGCCACGCUUCAGGCUACUCAAAGGAGGCUGACCCAACCACAGCUUGAAAGCUGAAGCACUAACCACAACAUCAACAUCCAACCUUUUGACAUUUGCAAUCCCAGUUUUCACAUUACCAUCCUUUCCCACCUCUUUUUGCUUGUGGUAUUUUCGGAGUCUGUAGCUAUUUAGUACUUCCUAUGUCGUGGGCUACCAGAGGCUCCUUAGAGGCUGCAAAUUUUGUCGCUGAGUAGAAGCAAGGGAACGGACGGAGGGUGCUCCCAGUUUCUCCUGAGCCUAUAUGCGUGUAUUAACUGAAGGCCGUGGAAGGCAAAACUCGUGGGGAGCUCUCUGAGAUUUUGGACUGUAAGGUGUAACCCAGCGUUGUACAGGGUUUCCUAGUAAGAAUGCAUGACGGGGACAGCCGACACUGUAUUGGUGCUGUUGUAUGAAAGGCAGGCUGUGCCCUGCUGCGUCUUUUGAAACUGUUUUGAUGUUAAUU